rnacentral:rRNA from 1 species
AGCGAACGCUGGCGGCAGGCCUAACACAUGCAAGUCGAACGGAUCCUUCGGGAUUAGUGGCGGACGGGUGAGUAACACGUGGGAACGUGCCCUUUGGUUCGGAACAACUCAGGGAAACUUGAGCUAAUACCGGAUGUGCCCUUCGGGGGAAAGAUUUAUCGCCAUUGGAGCGGCCCGCGUCUGAUUAGCUAGUUGGUGAGGUAACGGCCCACCAAGGCGACGAUCAGUAGCUGGUCUGAGAGGAUGAUCAGCCACACUGGGACUGAGACACGGCCCAGACCCCUACGGGAGGCAGCAGUGGGGAAUCUUGCGCAAUGGGCGAAAGCCUGACGCAGCCAUGCCGCGUGAAUGAUGAAGGUCUUAGGAUUGUAAAAUUCUUUCAGCGGGGACGAUAAUGACGGUACUCGCAGAAGAAGCUCCGGCUAACUUCGUG